UGUCGGCGUGCCUAAUACAUGCAAGUCGAACGCUUCUUUCCUCCCGAGUGCUUGCACUCAAUUGGAAAGAGGAGUGGCGGACGGGUGAGUAACACGUGGGUAACCUACCCAUCAGAGGGGGAUAACACUUGGAAACAGGUGCUAAUACCGCAUAACAGUUUAUGCCGCAUGGCAUAAGAGUGAAAGGCGCUUUCGGGUGUCGCUGAUGGAUGGACUCGCGGUGCAUUAGCUAGUUGGUGAGGUAACGGCUCACCAAGGCCACGAUGCAUAGCCGACCUGAGAGGGUGAUCGGCCACACUGGGACUGAGACACGGCCCAGACUCCUACGGGAGGCAGCAGUAGGGAAUCUUCGGCAAUGGACGAAAGUCUGACCGAGCAACGCCGCGUGAGUGAAGAAGGUUUUCGGAUCGUAAAACUCUGUUGUUAGAGAAGAACAAGGACGUUAGUAACUGAACGUCCCCUGACGGUAUCUAACCAGAAGGCCACGGCUAACUACGUGCCAGCAGCCGCGGUAAUACGUAGGUGGCAAGCGUUGUCCGGAUUUAUUGGGCGUAAAGCGAGCGCAGGCGGUUUCUUAAGUCUGAUGUGAAAGCCCCCGGCUCAACCGGGGAGGGUCAUUGGAAACUGGGAGACUUGAGUGCAGAAGAGGAGAGUGGAAUUCCAUGUGUAGCGGUGAAAUGCGUAGAUAUAUGGAGGAACACCAGUGGCGAAGGCGGCUCUCUGGUCUGUAACUGACGCUGAGGCUCGAAAGCGUGAGGAGCAAACAGGAUUAGAUACCCUGGUAGUCCACGCCGUAAACGAUGAGUGCUAAGUGUUGGAGGGUUUCCGCCCUUCAGUGCUGCAGCAAACGCAUUAAGCACUCCGCCUGGGGAGUACGACCGCAAGGUUGAAACUCAAAGGAAUUGACGGGGGCCCGCACAAGCGGUGGAGCAUGUGGUUUAAUUCGAAGCAACGCGAAGAACCUUACCAGGUCUUGACAUCCUUUGACCACUCUAGAGAUAGAGCUUUCCCUUCGGGGACAAAGUGACAGGUGGUGCAUGGUUGUCGUCAGCUCGUGUCGUGAGAUGUUGGGUUAAGUCCCGCAACGAGCGCAACCCUUAUUGUUAGUUGCCAUCAUUUAGUUGGGCACUCUAGCGAGACUGCCGGUGACAAACCGGAGGAAGGUGGGGAUGACGUCAAAUCAUCAUGCCCCUUAUGACCUGGGCUACACACGUGCUACAAUGGGAAGUACAACGAGUCGCUAGACCGCGAGGUCAUGCAAAUCUCUUAAAGCUUCUCUCAGUUCGGAUUGCAGGCUGCAACUCGCCUGCAUGAAGCCGGAAUCGCUAGUAAUCGCGGAUCAGCACGCCGCGGUGAAUACGUUCCCGGGCCUUGUACACACCGCCCGUCACACCACGAGAGUUUGUAACACCCGAAGUCGGUGAGGUAACCUUUUUGGAGCCAGCCGCCUAAGGUGGGAUAGAUGAUUGGGGUGAAGUCAUAACAAG
rnacentral:rRNA from 1 species